rnacentral:rRNA from 1 species
AUGAUAUUUGCUAGGGAGAAUUACAUUUGGGGUACCAUUAAAGCUCAGGUUAGUAAAGCAGUCAGAGAUAGAGUUUGGGUUUCUUUUGCCAAGGAUUCUGCUGGUUGGGCUUACUUAUUCUAUGAGAAAAUUGGCAGAAUCUGCACUUUUUGUGGAGUUAUGUUUCAUAGUGUUCAGCAUUGGAAGAUCAGAAAUAGUGUUCUCAUUUCAAGAAACAGGCUGCAAGUUUCUUUGGAAGAAAUCUCACCAAAUAGAUUUGGGCAGUGGAUGACUAAUGCAGAGUUGAUUCCUACUCUUUCAGGAGGAAAUGUUCAGGCAGAAGCAAAUUCAUUCUCAUCUUUCAUCAAUACUCAGCUAGCAAGGUUGCAGAAGCAGUUCAUAGAGGAUCCCAAAGGAAAAGGAAAGAUGUCAGGAGAGGAUUCUGCUGAAAAAGGAAAUCAGAAGGUAUUAUCUUUAAGGAAAAUUAAUGAAGAAAAUAAAAGAAUGGAAGGAGAGUUCAUUCACAGUCAGCAGCAGAGUCAAAGUGGUGAUUUAAUGGAUACAACGGUGUUACCAGAUGCAGGUAAUAAGGAGAUAGAUGUUGGGCAAAGCAAUUACGUAGAAGGAGGGUGA